CCUCUCUAACAACUCGCAACCUUGCCUUACAAUUCGUUCGACUAACUUGCUUCUUGUAAGAAGCUAUUCGUCCAACCGAACGCUUAUUAUCUGGAUACCCUUCACAAGAACAAAGAUAAACUUUUAACCGAAGAAUAUCUGAAUUGUCAAAUUUUUUAUUGGACCCCUUCCUAACACUGAAUCCAGAUAAAAUACCAUAUUGGGUGUACAAAAUAUAAAUCACAUCCAAACUAUCAUAAACAGCACCAACUUGCAAUUUAUCCUCAAUUUCAAUUCUUAGUGACUUAUCUGACUCGCUCUCCAAAUCUGAAACACUAACAUCUUCAGACAAGCUACAUUCAUUACCAUCAAAAUUAUUCUCAUUUUCUUCUUCUUCAAAGCCAUCAUCAGAAACAUUCAAGUCGAUAACCAUCGUGGAAAAAAGAAAUAUAUCCGUUUAUUUCUUAUUCACAGAUACGUAUGAAGAUGCUAGGGUUCACUGAAAAAUAUCUCCAACGAACGAUACACAACAAGAAAUUACUACACACAUUUCAUUCAAAUCAAUAAUGCAUUUCAAUUCUACCAUUAUGACAGCUAAAUCAGGACAUCAAUACCUCAUAAUGAUCUCUCCUAAAUCAAAUUACAGACCCAAAUUUAGAAACCAAAACAAAUAAUUACCAACCUCGGCCGCAGUAAGAAAUGCGAUUGCCUUCCUGACGAAAUUUGCAGAUUCGUGCUUCACCUCCAAAAAUCCUUCAAACGAUUGCCUCCAGAAUUUUUCUUCCCCGUUCGCUCGCAACAAAAAAAAAAACUUCCCCCGUUCGCUCACAGCAAAAUUCAGAAAUGUAGAGUCAAUGACAAAAAAAUACAAAAUUAUUUUCAACAAUAAAUACAUAGCUAUUCACUCUGUCCAGAAUUGUAGAAUUCAAAUAAAUCAAAUGUUGGAAAAAUAUAAACC
rnacentral:lncRNA from 1 species